GACGGACGGUGCAAGCGUUGCUCGGAAUCACUGGGCGUAAAGGGUGCGUAGGCGGCCGUGCAAGUCUGGCGUGAAAGCCCCGGGCUCAGCCCGGGAAGUGCGCUCGAAACUGCGCGGCUCGAGUGCCGGAGGGGAGAGUGGAAUUCCAGGUGUAGCGGUGAAAUGCGUAGAUAUCUGGAGGAACACCGGUGGCGAAGGCGGCAUCCUGGACCAUGACUGACGCUGAGGAGCGAAAGCCAGGGGAGCAAACGGG
rnacentral:rRNA from 1 species